UCUAGGGACCCAAUACUGCAGUGUCUUCAUACAUACCAAGCCAGUAUCAAUACUAGAGAGCUGUUGGAGAGCGCCACGGAUCCAGAUCUAAGCUGGGACGAAACUGACCUACCCAGCCGGUGUAUCCAGGUCUGGUCGUUCAACGAUUUUAUGGAGCAGUAUAAUCAAAUCUACACAUGGCUAAACAGUAUACAGGUA